AUGUCAUUCUCUGUUAAGACUGUUGUUCUCACAGAUAUGGAUUUUUUGAUGACAGAGCUAGCUUAUAAACUUUUUAUCUUUUUAUGUAUGAUACAACAAGGAACUUAUGGAAUGCUUAUACAUUACAAUGCUUCUGCAACUGCUGUGGAGGGACAGAACGUCAGCCUGCAGUGCAUUGUGGAAGAGGAUCAAAACGUCACAAUUAUGCUGCUGGAAUGGAUUAAACAGCAAAAAGAAAAUGAGAAGAAUGAUCAGAAGAUUGUUGUGUUCCAUCCUAUGUUGCCAACAUAUUAUUUUCGAUCCGGUUCUCUUCUGGAGACAGUGACCAGUUCAAAAACUGGAAAGCUGCAGGGCUCAAUCCUGACUCUGCAUGAAGUUACAGUGAAUGACAGUGGAAAUUAUAUUUGCGAAAUUACUUCUUAUCCCAAUGGCUCAAUUAAAAGAAUCACAAAGCUGCAAGUGACAGAGCCUCCAGCAUCAGUGAGGAUGCCAUAUCCAUAUGGAUUCAUAAAAGAGGGGGAUGAUAUGAAAAUAACUUGUUCAGCGAUCCCUCCACCACUCCAUUAUAAACUUGGAAGGUCAAAGGACCAGACAUUUUGGCUGGAAAGCUCAAACGGAGAGUUCAUUUUACCAAACGUCACCAGAAACGACAGCGAUGUGUACAUCUGUUUACCUGAAUGGGACUCAUUAGUCCGAAAUCAGCAAGGUCUCAAUGCCACCGUCGAACUGACUGUGAAUUUUCUUGAUGGCAUUGAGUGUAACACAAGCAGCCCUUUAAACGUCAGUGUUGGUGAGGAUGUGAUGAUUUCUUGUAUCGCAAAAGCAUCACAGUACUUGCAGUAUAAGUGGAUGAGGGGUGACACAACACUGUCUCUUUUAGACACUUUGUCUCUGACCUCCGUAACAUCUGACCAGUCAGGAACAUACAAACUGACAGCUGUCUUUCUGGACAAUCAACUCCAGACAGACAUGGAGUUUUCUAUCCAUGUUCUCUCAAAGCAAAGCGAAGCCUCAAAAAGCUCAGCGUAUAUCGCUGUCCCGAUUGUGUUGCUGUUGCUCGGGUCGAUUGUGCUUUAAUACAGAAGACACCAGAACCAAAAAAAAAUGGAUAUGCCACCUCCAUUGAAACACUUCAGUGAGGAACCAUGAUGUCCCUAUGACGGAUAUUCUAGAAUCUAGUGUAUCAAGCACUUGAGAACCCACAAACCGUGGGCCACAAACAUGCUGACAGGAAGAUUUCUCCCUAAAGGCCAUGGAUUACUCAUCCUCACGAAGUUUCGUUCAUCUUCAAAACACAAAUUGAUAUAUUUUUAAUAAAACCUGAGAAUUUUCCUUCCUGCCUUUGAAA
ensembl:lncRNA